CGACCGGCGCACGGGUGAGUAACACGUAUGCAACCUGCCCUCUUCAGGGGGACAACCUUCCGAAAGGGAGGCUAAUCCCGCGUAUAUCGGUUUCGGGCAUCCGAGAUCGAGGAAAGAUUCAAUCGGAAGAGGAUGGGCAUGCGGCGCAUUAGCUAGACGGCGGGGUAACGGCUCACCGUGGCGACGAUGCGUAGGGGUUCUGAGAGGAAGGUCCCCCCACACUGGUACUGAGACACGGACCAGACUCCUACGGGAGGCAGCAG
rnacentral:rRNA from 1 species